rnacentral:rRNA from 1 species
CCUACGGGUGGCAGCAGUGGGGAAUAUUGCACAAUGGGGGGAACCCUGAUGCAGCGACGCCGCGUGGGUGAAGAAGCGCCUCGGCGCGUAAAGCCCUGUCAGCAGGGAAGAAAAUGACGGUACCUGAAGAAGAAGCCCCGGCUAACUACGUGCCAGCGGCCGCGGUAAUACGUAGGGGGCAAGCGUUAUCCGGAUUUACUGGGUGGAAAGGGGGAGCAGACGGCGAUGCAAGCCAGGUGUGAAAGGCCGGGGCCCAACCCCGGGACUGCUCGUGGAACUGCGUGGCUGGAGUGCAGGAGGGGCAGGCGGAAUUCCUGGUGUAGCGGUGAAAUGCGUAGCUAUCAGGAGGAACACCGGUGGCGAAGGCGGCCUGCUGGACUGCAACUGACGUUGAGGCCCGAAAGCGUGGGGAGCAAACAGGAUUAGAUACCCUAGUAGUC